rnacentral:rRNA from 1 species
UACGGGGGGGGGCAAGCGUUGUUCGGAAUUACUGGGCGUAAAGGGCGCGCAGGCGGCCGCUCAAGUCAGGCGUGAAAGCCCCGGGCUUAACCUGGGAACUGCGUCUGGGACUGAGUGGCUAGAGUUCGGGAGAGGAGAGUGGAAUUCCCAGUGUAGAGGUGAAAUUCGUAGAUAUUGGGAAGGAACACCGGUGGCGAAGGCGGCUCUCUGGACCGAGACUGACGCUGAGGCGGCGAAAAGCGUGGGGAGCAACAGGG